rnacentral:rRNA from 1 species
GACGAACGCUGGCGGCGUGCUUAACACAUGCAAGUCGAACGAUGAACCACUUCGGUGGGGAUUAGUGGCGAACGGGUGAGUAACACGUGGGCAAUCUGCCCUUCACUCUGGGACAAGCCCUGGAAACGGGGUCUAAUACCGGAUAUGAGCCUGGGAGGCAUCUCCCGGGUUGUAAAGCUCCGGCGGUGAAGGAUGAGCCCGCGGCCUAUCAGCUUGUUGGUGAGGUAAUGGCUCACCAAGGCGACGACGGGUAGCCGGCCUGAGAGGGCGACCGGCCACACUGGGACUGAGACACGGCCCAGACUCCUACGGGAGGCAGCAGUGGGGAAUAUUGCACAAUGGGCGAAAGCCUGAUGCAGCGACGCCGCGUGAGGGAUGACGGCCUUCGGGUUGUAAACCUCUUUCAGCAGGGAAGAAGCGAAAGUGACGGUACCUGCAGAAGAAGCGCCGGCCAACUACGUGCCAGCAGCCGCCGUAAUAC